UAUCCUUUGCAGACGACUUGAAUAGAACGGGGUGCUGUAAGCAGUAGAGUAGCCUUGUUGCUACGAUCUGCUGAGGCUUAGCCUUUGUUCUACAGAUUUGUGCUUUUGCACUCUCUAUGAUUUUUAUGGAUCGGGGGGUUUGGUACUCCGACUAUGGAUAGCAUAGAAAGUGAAAACGUACACGUUGAAAAAGUACAAGUU
rnacentral:rRNA from 1 species